AUAUGUUCAUGUUCCCGUUCCCUAUCCUAUUCAGAACAACAACAAUAAUCGAUUGAGAUGGUGAACAAGACUAAGAGUGGUGUGUUUGUGUUGGCGCUCUGCCUCUUUGCCCUAGUCUUCACUGCUGCUACUCAUGCCAAGGGGGAAGGCGAGGGGAAGGUGGAAAAUAAUCAGUACGGCGGGGGUGGGCGUGGGGGUUGCCAGAGGUGUUGCUACUGGAGUGGUGGUUACUGCAGGAGAUGCUGCGCUCUUGGCGAACAGGAACACCCUUCUGCUCAUCACCCCUAAAUAAAUAAUUUCACUACCACUACACCCUGUUCAUAUUAUAUAUAGUACAUAUUCAAUAAAACAUAAUUAUGCAGAGUUGAUAUAACUCAGUCGUUGUCCACUCUGUGUAGUCUGUACAUAGACUAGCCUUCCUCUUCUCCCACUAGUGUAUUUAUCCAUCCAUCUCUAUACUAUGAAUAAAGUUCAAGUUACUUGAUGAA